GUUGGGAGUGUGAUGAGUCAAGUCAGUGCAGCAGCAGGUCCUGCUCAGAAGACAGGGAGCCAAAGAUGCCUGUAGCAUUCACCUGAGGAAUGGUCAGCAGGACAACGCAGCAACCAAGGACCCAACACUGAGGAGAACCUAAAACUGCAGUGCUCAUCUCUUUUCUCAGAUUUUCCUUCUAGAGUGUUGACUACUUAGAGGACCCAACACUGAGGAGAACCUAAAACUGCAGUGCUCAUCUCUUUUCUCAGAUUUUCCUUCUAGAGUGUUGACUACUUAGAGGACCCAACACUGAGAGAACCUUAAGCUGCAGUGCUCAUCUCUUUUCUCAGAUUUUCCUUCUAGAGUGUUGACUACAUAGAGAUAUAGAAUUCAAGAACAUCCUCUGACAUUCAGAAAUCCCUAC